rnacentral:lncRNA from 1 species
CUCCUGCCCGGGUAGUUGUGGGGUCUGAUUGGGCCUCCUGCCCACUUCUAAGUGCUGCCAUCAUCCCAGAGUGACAUCUCUGUAGGGCACCUGGGACCAGGGAGAGGAAAGGUGCUGGUGGUUCUAGCUGACUCCUGGGCCCUGAUUGAUGGCAGUGAAUUUAGCAAAUGUUAUUUACCAAAUACCUGUCUAAGCAAGGUGCUGCGUUACAAGUGAAGGACUUGGAGGAGGCUAAUACGGCAGUGGGUGCCUGCCAGGAGUUCACAGGCCCAAGAGAUAGGCUGUUGCAGAGUGGUGUGCUAAGUGCAGUGAAUGAGGUUGGGGACCCCGGAAAUGGAUGGAGGGCUGAGGAUCAGGGGGCUUCCCUGAGCGUGAGGACUCCUGGAUAGCGUGAGGAACUCACCAGUGGGCAAGUGGGUGAGGACACAGGAGUGCAGGUGUCUGAAGGCUGGUCGGCAGGCUGGGGCAGCCUGGAUGGAGACUGAAAGUUGCGAAAUUGCCAUGAAACUUUGAUGGGGAAAUGGGUGGGGUGACCAUCAGUUUUCUUUUUCUUUCCAAACAAGGAUGUUUGGAGUUAAAACGGACGGUAUCAGCAGUAAUCCUGGGCUAGCAAGGGUGAGCUGGGAUUUUGGUCUCCCUUGUCCUUGAAGAGAACGCAUCCGGUUCCGUGGCUUGGUGCGUCAGCACAGAUGGGAGACGAGGAAUCCCACCACUUUCUUCUUUCAGGUGCGAAUGCAGCUACCUGAUUCAUGGGAUGGGGGUGGGGUACUGUGGUCACCAGCGUGGAGACACACAGCUGACUGGCAGCCUCCUGUUUGUGCAUCGAGCGUGCAAGAGGAUGUGGUCUGAUGGCCCUGGGGGAAAGCGGAGGUCUUCCCCGACCGCCUCCUCAGGAGCUCCCCUGAACUCACCUUGCCAGCCAGGGCCUUCCUCACUGCCCCACGGCACCUGCGGCAUCCCCCGCCCAAAUGAAGGCUGGACAUGGAGCUCUGCCCACAGCGGGUGCCCCAAAAUGUCGAGUGUGCGAGGGUUUUCCAAAUUUAUCCAAAUGGGUUUCUCCUCACAGGAGGAGGCCUGGAGUCACUCGGAGGUGUCUUCUGAUGAAUUUUUUAACAUAAUGAAGCCUCGUCCUUGGUGCCUGCUCAGAAUGCCUGGCCUUACUUUGCAGGGCUCCUCAGGGAGAAGCUCUCGAGUGAACAGCUCUAAAGUGGAGGUUUUCUUUAGUUCAAGGACUCCCUUUUCUGCUCUUCCCUGCUUGCAUCAUUAGAAACAUCUUUAGAAAUCCAUGUUAAUUAAUUAGCUCCAGCCUUGGCGUUGGUGGGGUAGCAUGGUUGAUAGCUCUGGUCAGGUGGCCUUCCAGGUUGGACCUGAAGCUGGCUCUGAGCCCUGCUGACCCCGAAGGGCACCAGAAGCUCUUGGCUGAGUCCACAUUGGGUCCCCACCUGGAGUGGGCUGGGGGUUGGCUGAAAGAGUAUUUAAAUGAAACAUAGGCCAGACAUAGCUGGGCAUUUUGGCAAUGGGUAGAUUUUUCUCUUUAAAAAUAAGCCUGGGUGGCUCAGUCGGUUAAGCGUCAGACUCUUGGUUUCCGCUCAGGUCAUGAUCUCAUGGGUUGGGGGAUGGAGUCCCGCCUCAGGUCUGUGAUCAGCACCUCAGCGCAGAGUCUGCUUGGGAUUCUUUUUCGCCUCUCUCUCUGCCCCUCUCUCACUCACGUGUGCACACACGCACUCUCAAACAAAUACAGAUCUUUAAAAAAAUAAAAAUAGACUUUGUUUCUCUCCCCUUUAUUGUAGAAGUAAUACAUGUUCCUUGAAGAUAAACAACAUGAAAAUCUACAAAAUCAUAUAAUAAUGUUUCAAUGGGUGGCCUUCCAGACCUUUUCUUGCAUUUAUAUAUAUAUAUUUUACUUAUAUAUAUAUUUAUUUAUUAUAAAUACAUAUACACACACAAAUUCUACAUUUAUAUAUAUAUAUCCAUACAUACACCUCUUCUUUCAGCAGGAAUUAAGAUUGCGUUACAUUUGUGGCAGCCUCAUUGCGUGUGCGCACGCGCACACACACACACACACACACACACACACACACACUCCUUUGAGUGAGCCGUAUGGUCCCUAGAGACCCCAGCUCUCUGUGGCUAUUUCAGCUGAGCCAUGGCAGACCAGUUAGGCGGAAGUGACCUCUAGAAUAUUGCAGGAAGUUAAUCUGGUCCUUGUCUCUCAGACCCACAUUGGUGUCUGGAGCUGGGGGCUGAAUCCAGAGGCUCACCCAGAGGUGCAUCUUCUCCCUGAAGAGUCUACAGCGAUAACCACACUGUCAUUCUUGGAGCCGCUGAGGAAGGCAUAAUCCCCAUUUUGCAGAGGGGCACCCUGAGGCUCGAGGCUACAACUGGUCCUUGUCCUUCCUCUUCCCCACUUGUGUCCCCAUGCUGGAGCUGAUGACUCCUGAGCACUCCAGGAGUGGUGGCGACCUUGCUUCCGGCCCUGGAGGGCACUCUAGGAGUGAUUCAGACUCUAGAGAAGGAUGUGCAGAGCAUCUCAAUCUUCCCUGCUGAGCCUGCCUGGGGUGGGGCCAGGAGCUCAGAGGAAGCUCUGGGGGCUUGUAUUAUGUUGACGAUCUGUACUAUGGCAUUUUCCCAAAUGGUUCCCUCUGCCACUGCUAUGCUAGAAGAGAGGAAGAGACAGGCCGUCACUGCCUCCCAGAUGCAGCCGGGUUUGCCUUUUGCAGCCGUCCACCCACCCCCUUAGUAUUCCCUGCCUUCAGAGCAAAAGCUUACAGAGGAGAAUAUCGUGGUUCAGAGAGGGAGGUGACUUGCCCAAGGCCACACAGCAAGUCACUGGCAAAGCUAGGGUCCGCUUUUAGGUCUCUGUGGCUCCAGAGUCUGGAGAAUUCCACAUCCUGCCCCGAUCGCUGCCAGAGGCACUGUGGCUGCUUGACUCUGUUUUCUGCCUCCUGACAGACCUGAGCGGAGGCACUUUGUGGGCAGAGCUGCUGGAGCGCCUGAGCUGUGGGAAGAAUAGGCAGCUGAGAGCUUGAAGUCUGGGUCCCUGUGGGUCCUGGGUUCACGGCAUCGGCCCAUCGCAUCCCCUCCCUGGGCCCUGUCUCUUCGCACCGUGUGUGGAGGGGCCUGUUUCCUGGCACUUGGUACAGUAGGGCUCCAUAUCCCCUGGGCCCUGCUCCCCCUGCCCUCGCGUCCCAGGGGCUUUGAGAGCUGUUUGCAGGUGAUCCAGCUGGGGCUGCACAUCCAGGAGGCCCUGUGUGCCCUGGCCCCUCCGAGUACAAGGUUCCUUGGGGUUUCUACCUGGACGGGGCUUGUGGGAUUAAGGACCAGCUCUGUAGGUUUCCCUCACUGUGACGAUGCAUGUUUGACUCACCCUCAGCUCACAUACAAGUGUCAGUGACAGUCUAGUCUUCUCGUUCGCCAUUGGACAUGCACUGAGGGAUCAAGGGCUAGGCAUGAAGCAGGGAUGACACAGGAGUCCUGCCCUCCGGAAAGGGAGGGGGGAUCCUAUUGUGUGCCACAUGCUUUACAUGGGUAUGUGUGUGUGAGUGCACACACUCGUGUGUUGGGUGAUGGACAGAAUGUACUCCAUGCUCAGAUCAGAGUCAGAUGUGCACGAAGUCUACCUCCUUCUGUAACUGAUCUCAUUUUGCUCUGGAAAGCUGGUGGCAUGAAAAGUGUAUUUUUUAAAAAUGUGCUGAUUUAACAGAACCCAUUCUCUUCAGAUUUAAAACAGGCUCCUCUGGAUAAAAUGUUCAGCUGAAGUUCAGACCCUAGACAGGCUUUGUGCGAAUUUCAAAAGGCACCUCUUCCUCUGAGCAGGUGUGACUCUGUACCAAGGAGAGUGGAAGGCUGGCACGACUUCAGCCGGUACCUUCCCCUCAGCUGGGCCUUCUUGGACAGUGAACAACUGGCACAGCUGUCCAUGGUGGAUUUGUCAAACUACCCAUCAAAACUGUCUUUUCCAAAAAAAAAAAAAAAAAAA